rnacentral:misc_RNA from 1 species
GGAAUCCCCAAUUCUGUUAGCAAUCUUUCUAUCCAAAUUAAUUCACAAAUCCCUUGAGCAAUUGCUCUCUAUUCUGCUUCUGCACUGCUUCUUGCCACCACAGUUUGCUUUUUGCUCCUCCAUGUCACUACAUUUCCCCAUAUUUUAGUACAAUACCCAGUAGUAGACUUUGUGUCAGUUGAACCUGCCCAAUCUGAAUCUGCAAAUCCUUCAACAUCUCUUCGUUCAUUCUUCUUAAAAAACAUACCUUUUCCUGUUGUUCCUUUUAGAUACA